AUUGAACGCCGGCGGCAUGCCUUACACCUGCAAGUCGAACGGCAGCGGGGGAGAUGCUUGCUUUUCCUGCCGGCGAGUGGCGAACGGGUGAGUAAUACAUCGGAACGUGCCCUGUAGAGGGGGAUAACUAGUCGAAAGAUUAGCUAAUACCGCAUACGACCUGAGGGUGAAAGUGGGGGACCGCAAGGCCCCAUCCUAUAGGAGCGGCCGAUGUCUGAUUAGCUAGUGGGUGGGGUAAAGGCCUACCAAGGCGACGAUCAGUAGCUGGUCUGAGAGGACGAUCAGCCACACUGGGACUGAGACACGGCCCAGACUCCUACGGGAGGCAGCAGUGGGGAAUUUUGGACAAUGGGCGAAAGCCUGAUCCAGCAAUGCCGCGUGUGUGAAGAAGGCCUUCGGGUUGUAAAGCACUUUUGUCCGGAAGGAAAUGGCUCUGGUUAAUACCUGGGGUCGAUGACGGUACCGGAAGAAUAAGGACCGGCUAACUACGUGCCAGCCGCCGCGGUAA
rnacentral:rRNA from 1 species